AGCGUUAUUCGAAAUCAUUGGGGUAAAGGGCGCGUAGGCGUUUUUUUAAGUCAAAUGUAAAAGCCGGGGGUUUACCCCGGGAAGUGCAUUUGAAACUGAAAGACUUGAGUAUGGGAGAGGAAGUGGAAUUCUUGGUGUAAAGGUGAAAUUCGUAGAUAUCAGGAGGAACACCGGUGGCGAAGGCGACUUCCUGGACCAAUACUGACGCUGAGGCGCGAAGGCGUGGGUAGCAAACAGGAUUAGAUACCCUGGUAGUCCACGCAGUAAACGGUGAACACUAGGUGUAGCGGGUAUUGACCCCUGCUGUGCCGAAGUUAACGCAUUAAGUGUUCCGCCUGGGAAGUACGGUCGCAAGAUUAAACUCAAAGGAAUUGACGGGGGCCCGCACAAGCGGUGGAGCAUGUGGUUUAAUUCGACGCAACGCGAAGAACCUUACCUGGAUUUGACAUCCCGGGGAUUCUCUUGAAAAAGAGAAGUGCCCUUCGGGGAGCCCGGAGACAGGUGCUGCAUGGCUGUCGUCAGCUCGUGUCGUGAGAUGUUGGGUUAAGUCCCGCAACGAGCGCAACCCUUAUCUUUAGUUACCAUCA
rnacentral:rRNA from 1 species